AACUAGGAUUAGAUACCCUAUUAUAUUUAAAUAAUUUUAGGUAGUACUGACUUUUCAAGAAAACCUAUGCAGUUUGGCGGCAUUUAAUCAAUUUAGAGGAACCUGUCUUUUAAUCGAUACCCCACGAUAAUUCUUACUUUUAUUAAAAUCUUAUAUACCUCCAUCUUAAGGAUUAAUAUUUACAUUCUCCCCUAAAUAGAUAUCUAAAAAGUUAGGUAAAGGUGUAGACUAUAUAAAAGAUAAGGUGGGUUACUAUAAAUCUAAUUUAAGGAUAUGUAAUAAAAUUUACAUUGAAAAAGGAUUUAUUAGUAAUAAAAGAAUAUUAAUCUUCCAUGAAACUGAUAAACAAUGUGCACACAUCGCCCGUCGCUC
rnacentral:rRNA from 1 species